rnacentral:rRNA from 1 species
GACGAACGCUGGCGGCGUGCUUAACACAUGCAAGUCGAACGAAGAGCGAUGGAAGCUUGCUUCUAUCAAUCUUAGUGGCGAACGGGUGAGUAACGCGUAAUCAACCUGCCCUUCAGAGGGGGACAACAGUUGGAAACGACUGCUAAUGCCGCAUACGAUCUGACCUCGGCAUCGAGGAUAGAUGAAAGGUGGCCUCUAUUUAUAAGCUAUCACUGAAGGUGGGGAUUGCGUCUGAUUAGCUAGUUGGAGGGGUAACGGCCCACCAAGGCGAUGAUCAGUAGCCGGUCUGAGAGGAUGAACGGCCACAUUGGGACUGAGACACGGCCCAGACUCCUACGGGAGGCAGCAGUGGGGAAUCUUCCGCAAUGGACGAAAGUCUGACGGAGCAACGCCGCGUGAGUGAUGACGGCCUUCGGGUUGUAAAGCUCUGUUAAUCGGGACGAAAGGCCUUCUUGCGAAUAGUUAGAAGGAUUGACGGUACCGGAAUAGAAAGCCACGGCUAACUACGUG